rnacentral:rRNA from 1 species
ACGGAGGAUCCAAGCGUUAUCCGGAUUUAUUGGGUUUAAAGGGUGCGUAGGCGGAAGAUUAAGUCAGUGGUGAAAGUUUGCAGCUCAACUGUAAAAUUGCCAUUGAAACUGAUUUUCUUGAGUGUAAAUGAGGUAGGCGGAAUGUGUUGUGUAGCGGUGAAAUGCGUAGAGAUAACGCAGAACACCGGUUGCGAAGGCAGCUUACUGGACGACAACUGACGCUCAGGCGCGAAAGCGUGGGGAUCAAACAG